AUGGACGGCGUCCGGAGCUUAGCACAGUCCCUGGGAGCCGAAGAUGGCGGCCGGAGCAACCUUUUCCGCACGCUUGGCCCGGCGCUCUUCAUCUCGAUUGGGUACAUCGACCUCGGCAAGUGGGUCACCACCGUGGACGCCGGCUCUCGCUUCGGCUAUGAUCUCGUGCUGCUCGUGCUGCUCUUCAACUUCUCCGCCGUCCUCUGCCAGUACCUCUCCAUAUGCAUCGGCAUGGUCACUACCAAGAAUCUUGCCCAGAUAUGCGUCCAGGAGUACAGUCAGCCAAUAUGUGUUGGCCUUGGUGUUCAGGCAUUGCUGUCCUUGUUAACUGCAGAGAUUACCAUGAUAUCAGGCAUUGCAAUGGGGUUUAACCUUGUAUUCGAGUACGAUGACCUUGUCACAGGCAUAUGGUUUGCAAGCUUUGCAGUUAAUCUACUACCAUAUGCGAUCUCCCAUCUGGACAAGAAGAUGGCUGGAAUAUUCAAUGCCUGCAUAGCAGGUCUCGCACUUGUUUGUUUCGUGCUUGGUUUAUUGGUCAGUCAACCAAGAGUUCCUCUCGAUAUGGAUGUGAUGUUCCCCAAGUUGAGUGGUGAAAGUGCCUACUCGCUCAUGGCACUUCUGGGUGGAAAUGUAAUAGCGCACAACUUCUAUGUUCAUUCAUCAUUUGUACAGGCUCAAAGAAGAUCCCCUGUUACACUUGGGGCCUUAUUUCAUGACCACCUUGUUUCGAUCUUAUUUAUUUUUUCUGGGGUUUUUCUUGUGAACUAUGUUCUGAUAAGCUCAGCAGCAGUUGGAUCCGGUGAUACACUGCUCCUGACCUUUCAAGAUGUUGUAGAGCUAAUGAACCAGAUAUUCAUGAAUCCUGCAGCGCCGCUUGUGUUCUUAAUGGUUCUUCUCCUUUCGAGCCACAUCGUCUCACUGUCAUCUAUUAUUGGUAGCCAUGCAAUUGUAGAGAAUUUCUUUGGUAUAAACCUUUCUCUUUCGGCACAUCAUCUGCUACUCAAGGUUUUUGCCAUGAUUCCUACAAUCUACUAUGCAAAGGUUGCGGGCUCAGAAGCGAUAUAUCAGUUAAUUAUCAUCUGUCCAGUCAUCCAGGCUAUGCUCCUUCCUGCGUCUGUUAUACCUGUUUUCCGGGUUGCUUCCUCAAGAUCAAUAAUGGGCAACUACAGAAUAUCUUCAUCUGUUGAAAUAUUGGCCUUUCUCGCAUUUCUUCUCAUGCUAUUUACAAACAUCAUUUUCAAGGCAGAAAUCCUGUUUGGUGAUAGCACCUGGACAAACAGCAUGAAAGGGAACACCGGGAGCCCUGUUGUACUUCCAUAUACUCUUAUCGUCCUAAUUUCAUGUUCAUGUCUUCUGUUUACACUGUUUCUGGCUGUUACUCCACUGAAGUCUGCAAGUAAUGAAGCUGAAACUCUGGAGUUCUCUAUGCACUCUCAGAGAGAACCAUUGGGCAGUACUCACCAUAGAGAAGAUGUUUUUCUGGAAGAUGUUGCCCAUGAAGAAGUUCAAAGGUCUUCUACUGAUGCUAUUCUCAGGGAUCCAAUGGAAAGUCAUCAAAGUCAUCAGAAAUCAGCUUUGGAGCAUACUGAAAGUUCUGACACCACUGUAGAGUCUGAUCCUGACAGUCAACAAUCAACUGCUUAUGCAGUGAGUACUCCUAAAGCUCAACCCUCACCACCUGUCUACCAUGAAGAGCCAAAACCAGUUUGUGUGGCUGACUGGACAGAGUCGGUACCAAAGGUUUCUACAGCCAGUGAAGUAGAACAUAUUCAUGCAGAGAACAUCAAACGGAAGAGCGCAACUGAAAAAGAUGUUGAAGUAGUAGCAGAAGUUUGCAGGGACAAGGAUAGUGUUGCCUCACAUAAUUUGGAACAUGAGAAGUCUGCUGGAGGCAGAGCACCUUCCAAUCCUGAUGGUCCACCAUCUCUUACUUUCAGCAGGGGAAAAGACUCUGAUGCUGGCAGUGGCAGCCUCUCGACACAGUCUGGUUUGGGCCGUGCUGCAAGGAAGCAGUUAGCAGCACAUCUUGACGAGUUCUGGGGGCAUCUUUUUGAUUAUCAUGGUAAGCUUACACAAGAUGCUAAUGAAAAAAGGUAUAACUUUUUGCUCGGACUGGACUUGAGAGCAGCUAAUUCUGCUGUGAGGGCUGAUAACCAAACCAUUGAAGCUUCAAAGAGCCCCUUGAUGAGAGAUGCGCUGCGAGCAUCAGCUACCUCACUGAACUCGUGGGACUCGAUGUCCCGUGAUAAGGAUAUCCGUAGUCUAGACUGGAGUUCUGGGCAUCAGAUGGGUCCAAUGGGUUCAUCCAACUGGUCUCAGAACAUGAAUUCACCAUAUACAGACAUUUUGAGUUCAAGCAGCAGCUUACUUGAGCAAAAUCCAAAAUACUAUUCAAAUUUCAAUAUGCCAUCUUACUCUGAUAAUCAGUUCUAUCAGCCUGCUACUAUUCAUGGAUAUCAGCUGGCAUAUUUGAGAGGGAUGAAUGCAAGUAGAAAUCAGCACUCUAACAUCCCCCUGGAUCCAAGACGGGUUCCUAGGUUAUCUGAACAUUCUUUUCCUAACUAUGCUGAUCCUGUUAUGCAUGCCCGCAACCAAAAUUUACGGGGUUCAUUGGGAGCUAACUCUCCACAAAGCCCAGCAAUGAAUCGCUUCAAUGCAACGGUCGAGAGACCUUAUUAUGAUUCUACCUCUGUUGAUGAAAGUGAAAGUGUUGGCUCACCUGGAUACUCAAAGAAGUAUCACAGUUCACCUGACAUAUCUGCAGUAAUUGCUGCAAGCAGAAAGGCUGCGUUGAACGAAGCAAAUUUUGGUGGUGCUGCCGGAAAUCAAGCAUACCCAAGUAAGCUGGCAUCUGAGAGAUCACAAUAUGUGGAGUCGGCAGCCAGGUCCAAAGCCCAAAUUGCAUUUAAUGAGCGCUCACAACAUAAUCUCCAAAGAGAUGUCCUUUCUAUGCAGUUGGGUAUGAACCCCAACAAUAAAUCCCUUUGGGCCCAACAACCGUUUGAACAGCUGUUUGGUAUGUCAAGUGCAGAAUUGAAUAAGAGCGAGGUGAACACUGGCCAGAGAUCAAGUGGCAUGACAAAGGAUGAUUCCUCUUACACAGAGUGUGAGGCAGAGCUUCUUCAAUGUCUUAGGCUCUGCAUCAUGAAUAUCUUGAAACUGGAAGGAUCAGGAGGGCUCUUUAGGCAAAAUGGUGGUUGUGAUGAAAAUUUAAUUGAUCAAGUUGCAGCAGCUGAGAGACUUUCACAAGAAACAACUGAGAAUCUGUUGUCGGCUGAUCUUCUGCGCAUGCGCGGUUGUGGUGAAACCUGCGUUUGGCAGGCUACCCUGGUUGUUAGUUUUGGUGUCUGGUGUAUCCGCCGGGUACUGGAUCUUUCCCUUGUGGAAAGUAGACCGGAACUUUGGGGGAAGUACACAUAUGUUCUGAACCGUCUUCAGGGAAUCAUUGAACCCGCCUUUUCCAAGCCCCGGAAACCUCUCACCGGGUGCGCAUGCCUUCAGAUAACAGGCCCGGGUGCCAGGCCCAUUUCUGGCACCUUCACCACUUCAGCUGCCAUCUUGGAGACGAUCAGGGACGUGGAAGUAGCUAUCUGUGGACGCAAGGGUCGAAGCGGAACAGCCGCAGGAGACGUAGCUUUUCCUAAAGGGAAGGAGAACCUGGCUUCAGUUCUCAAGCGGUACAAGCGUAGGCUGUCGAGCAAGCCGUCUGCUGGGCAGUAG
rnacentral:rRNA from 1 species